UACGAAGGGAGCUAGCGUUGUUCGGAAUCACUGGGCGUAAAGCGCACGUAGGCGGAUUUGUCAGUCAGGGGUGAAAUCCCGGGGCUCAACCUCGGAACUGCCUUUGAUACAGCAAGUCUUGAGUUCGAGAGAGGUGGGUGGAAUUCCUAGUGUAGAGGUGAAAUUCGUAGAUAUUAGGAAGAACACCGGUGGCGAAGGCGGCCCACUGGCUCGAUACUGACGCUGAGGUGCGAAAGCGUGGGGAGCGAACGAGG
rnacentral:rRNA from 1 species